AAACGAAUAAUAAAAAAGAGAAAAAAGAAAAUAGAAAAGGGCAAAAAUAAGCGACGGUUUUCACUUUCUCUUCCCGCGUGCGUCCUCUCCUCGUCAUCACUGUCCUCUCAAUCUCUCAUCCCGUUGCCUUGCUUCGUCUUUGACGCCAUAGAUCGAGAAUCUCCUUCUCAGCCGCCACACCGUCGUCGCCGUAGGCUUCAAAGGAGAUGAUGAAAUUUUGAUAUAAAUUGAUGAGACUCUGGUGUUGUGAAUUUGGGACCAAAAAGUUUUGAUUCUUCAUUGGAAAUGUUUUAUCAUUUCCACAAAUUUCUUCGUGCUUGGCCUCAAAAUCUCAAUGUUAACAAGUUGGAACAAAUUACGUACCGCUUGUUGAAAACCAGUGAGGUAGAUGGCAAUUGAGCAUUCAUCUUGUCCGGGACAAAGCGCAGCCAUGGUGACAUCUGUGAUGGCCGGCACCACCAUGAAUGUCGAUAAGUUAUGAAGAAAAACCGUAAUGAAGAGAUGGCUCAAACCAUACAAAUUUAAUUUCUCCAUAAUUCUCCCACUCAUUAUUAAUUAAUCAAUGUGAUGUGUGUGUCUUGCAUGGAAAGCCACCAUGCUAACUUAUAACAAAAUGAUAAGCCAUGUACAAUACUCCUAUGCAAGACUUAUUAGAAGCGCCAAUAUGUGCUGUAGAUUAUAAUAUACGAUAUAUGUGUUUGUGGGACCUCGAGAAGCUUAGUGUAGUGUACUCUUGCGAUUGCUUAUGCAGGUAAUUUUAAUUU